AUGUUCAUUCACAUAUGUCUGGUUUACCCACACAAGGGCACAAUGAUGAAUUUUACGGAGCAUCCUCCUGUAAAGAAAGGCUCUGUUCUCUUAACAAGGAUGGAAAGUAUAACGGCAUACAAAAACCAACGUGGACAACCCAAAUCUGCAACUCCAGAACAAUCUGACAUUCCAGUGUCUGCUAAUGACAUGUGUUCCCUUGCUGAAUGGCCAUCCCAUGCUCGCCGCAACCGUGCGCGACUACAGGAUGAAGCUGGUGGACAGAAGAAGAAAGGGAGAGGUGUUCUAAAAGGUUUUAAAGCAUCUAAGAAGCGUUUUGCCAAUGGAUCUGCAAAGCUAAAUAUUACAUUCUCUGAAAAAUUGGGUGGUACAGUAGGAAUGAACUAUCGUUCGUUCAAGGAUGACGUGGUUGUCAUAAUCAAAAGAAAGUUACCACUCAUUGGAGUGAGGACGUGGUCGGACAUUCACCCUACCAUUCAUCGACUCAUUGUUGCAGAUAUAAUAGACAGAUGGGACCUGGAAGAUACACCAGAAACAGAAGAAAAAGUUCUCAAAAUUGCGAAAGAGAGAUAUAGAGGCUGGCGAUCAACUCUAAGCUCCACUUACAAGGCAUACAAAACAGAUGCAGCUAGAUUGGCUAAUCUUCCUGAAGAUUUACAACCAGAAGAGUGGGAAUGGAUGAUUGAGUACUUUGGCACUGAUUCAAAAUUUCAGGAACGCAGCCAAAAGAACGCCGAUAACCGUAAGAAACAGAAGACAAAACAUAUAAUCGGAUCAAAAUCUUACUCGCAAGUUAGUUUUGAGAAGAGAAACUUAGAAACUGGAGAAGAGCCAGAUUGUAUUGCUCUAUGGGAACUCACCCACACAAACAAUGGAACAUGGUCUAACACAGAUUCCCAGAAAGUUUACGACCAAGCACUUGAAGAGGUUAAAAACAAAGAAGCUGAAACUGAAGGUCCACUUUCAAGUGAGCAGAAAAACAAUGUUUUCCAGACCGCUUACAAAGACACUCUGGAAUGCAACUCAUCGCAGCCUCGUGGGUACGGAUACAUGGCCAAAACUUCAACUGGUUCUGAAAAGUUCCGUAUCCAGAUUGAAGAGCAAGCUCGUGCUACAGCAGCCACCCAGGAGCGAAACUCUCAGCUCAGCCAGCAGGUCAAUGACUUAGAAGAUCAACUACAAGCUGAACGUGCUAACACACAAGAGAGGAUUAACUUGGAGCGUGCUGAGAGAGAACAACUUGAGGAGAGGUUAAAAGAAGAGCGUGCUGAAAGGGAAAGAUUGUUGCAAGAGGAGCGAACAUCAAGACUGGAAUUUGAAAAAAACAUGAUGGCAAAGUUUGUAGAAUUGAGCAAACAGAUAGAAACCCAACAGACAUCUAGUCCUAAUAAGACUCCAGGUUCAAGGCCGACUGCUAUUUCUUCAAAUGCGCUCAUACAAGCUGCAGCAAGGCAAUCUCGGAUGUAUAAAGCAAUGGAUCCAAAGAACUAG
rnacentral:rRNA from 1 species